CUUCCACUGUUUUUAUGCAAUUUCACAGACACUGAGAGGUUCAAGGGAGAUGGGGAUGCACAGGGAGCUUGAGCAACACGUGGAGGAAGUUGUGACAGCCAAGACUGGCCUCUGUGGUAUCAUCAGUCACCUGGAAUGUAAACUUGACAACAUUCUAGACAUGAACAAAAGAGAGAUGCUGGCUGAAGGACUCAGCAAGCUUACUGCCUCCACUCCCUUUCUGGAACAAACAAACAACAUUUGUUUUCAUUUGACGUGUUGGAAAAACCCCAGCAAAACAAGAGAAGAAUUCAAGAAAGAGGAAAACAGCAUUGUUAAGAAACUGAAACUGACUGAGAACUUCAGGUAAAGACAUUUCGAGUGACACCUGCAUCCUAAGACGAACAGUGAAAUCCUCUGAGAGCUGAUCAGAAACUUCCAAAUGUUCAAGAAAAGUCACAAUCUGAAAUAAAGCAAGCUUUAACUCGGAAAUGAACUUGAGAACCGACAAAGCAGAAGGAGCAGCAUUUUCUACACCAGCAAGGCCAUGCCUCCGUUAGUCGGGUGGACGAUCCAAAGUCGGAGGGCAGUAACCUGUGGCUUCCCGAAUAGCACAGAGAAGGCAACUUCUGAUGCACAGACAUUUCCGGGGAGAAUGCUGGCCUCUUCCCUUGCCGAUCUCCUCUCUGUCUGGCUCUUACUCACCACUUAAAGACGAGGUUGAGCCAGUCUCCAAUCACAGCUACCCAGAGGAGCUUGAUGCCCACAGCUUCACGGAGAUGGAACCAGAUGGGAAAGAGUACAUAGAAGGCAUUCCUGAGAUCAGCGAUCACGGACACCAAGAUGAACCAGUCCUGGGAGUCCUGCUCCUUCCUGCUGCCUCCAGCAAAUUUUUAUCGUGUGCAGAAAAGAAUGAGGCCCCAAAGGACCUGACUCUCUAGAAAGCUGACUGAAGAGAGAAAUUGUAGAGUUCUCAGAUCCUCAACGGACUUGUGGAUAUUUGAGGUACACUAGCCGGGCACUUCUCAGGCAUUUUCUCCACAAACAGAAACUCAGAGGCCUGGGGAUCUUGGUUUGGGAAGAACAUGAAGGAAAGGGGCCAGAAAGUACAGUCUGGUCUGUUAUUAAAGUCCAGAUGUGGGGAGGAAGAAGAAUUCUACAGAAGCUGCAGAUACCUGCCUGCAGAGCCUGAGUAGAGCAACAAUGGCCAACGAUUGGCCAUGGGCCACAUUUUGGAGUGGGGACACGAAGCAUGUGCCACUAAGAGGCCAGCUCACAUGGAUAGUGUGUGUGUGUGUGUGUGUGUGUGUGUGUGUGUGUGUGUGUGGUGGUCGAGGUCCUUUCAGUGGGGUCUGUAGGUCCAACAGUCCCCGCAGGACCCACAUCACCAGAGUUCUUUCCCCCUCAUCAGGUUCUCCCUACAACUUUGCUACUCUGACCCUUUGGGCUACACUCCUCAGGGUCUGGUUGCUCUCUUUCUUGUGGCUGGAAGGGUGUGUUCCCAGGAAGGCCUUCCAACAAGGCUGCCUCAGGGCUUUUCCUGAGAGUUCCCUGUGCACCCACUCCUUUGGGGUGGCUCAGAUUGUCCCCUCUGACCCCACUGGGGAGCCCCAUCACACCCUCAUCGGUUAGCUGGUGAGCCACAGUAGCAGAGUCCCUCAGGCAGACCUCAGCCUGGGGGCACAGGCCCCCCUCUCCCCGUCCUUGCAAGUGGAGAAGCAGAGCUGGAACCGCCAAGAGAAGCAUCAUCCUUGGCUCCUCCCCCAGCAUUUGCUUGGUGGGGCGGGGGGAGGCAAGAUGAGAGCAUCUCUACCCAUCAAGGUUCAAAUUUUUUUACACAAGAAAGUCAAAAGAGAAUAUUUAUCUGGGCUGAGAGGAUAAAGAGACACUAAAUCACUGAGCCUAGAAACAAAAUGCAAAGAAGCGUCAGCUUAACUGCCUUAACCAGCUCUGCCUUCACCCCUUCUCCAUCUGAGAGAUUUUCACCAUAUCCUGCCGCUAUUCUUGAAUCAAGAAUGUGGUUCCAUGGCUUUUAGUCUUUGUAUGAAGGUCCCUUUGCCAGAACUUAGGUCCUUUCUGACUCACCUGGCUGAGCCUGUGUGUGUAGGCUGUUCUUGAGGGAACCACAGGAUUUCCAGUGUCUGAACUCUGGUCUGCCAUUUCUCUCUGCUCACAAGCUGAGCUGGACCCGAAUCUCUGCCCUCAAUUACCAUCUUGCCACGGCCUGCCCUCCCCUAGGGCUGGGUCAGUGGCCCAGACUUCCUCCUGGGGAAGGAAUCCCCUCUCUGCCUCACCCCACAACCCCCUUUUCUAGAAAAGAGACUGACAGAAGUAGGCAAGCUAUCAAAGCAGAGGUGUGAACACACAUACCCCAUGGGUUUCUCCGGUCUGGAGGCACUUCCCCACCUUACUCCUGCCCCCACACUCUUUUCUGGAAAAUGUUCCAGUUCUUAUUUAUGCCCAUUCAUAGGUUACACCCCAGGAAGGCCAGUGGGGGUGGGAGGCCCUGGAGGCUGUUGCCUGACCCGGCCAGCUGGUCCCCACUGAGACACCCCUGGCUCGUUGGCAUGCCCGCCCCGGACCAGACAGCUCCUGGCCUGGGGCCCAGGCUCCUGAUGCUUUCUGGUUCCUAUCUUCGGUGACAUUCCUGUCAUCUGUGUUCACUGCUGCAGUGGAGGCCCCUGUCACUCUUGGCUCUGGGAACCUUCUACCCACAAAACCCCCUCAACUGCUGUUGUCACCUGACCAUCCUACCCUUUCUCAAAAGCUUACUCCACACGGUCUCUGUCCAUGGCAGGAACUCAGAAGCAGAUUAUUCGGCAGUGUAGACAGAUGACAAGAUGACAGGAGAAACACUUUUAUUCAGGUAGUGAGAGGAGGGAAAUGCCAGGGAGCAAAACUGAAGUAGCAAGAAGAGGGGGAGGAGGAAGAAGCAGAACACAGGGAGAAGGAAUGUGCUAGAAUAAGAGGAACAUGGACCUAGUGGGGAUCCUGCCCCGGUGCUUGAGAGAACAGCUGGUCUCCAGAGGCCUCAUCUUCAGAUUCCAGACCCAAGGGCAGAGGAGGAGCCUGGCAGGCCCCAGAAAGCUUCCGAAUGCUAAUGACACUCAACUGUACAUCUAAAAAUGAUCCCUUUCUGUAAAUUGUAAAUUGUAUGCAAUGUAUGUUUUAGCACAAUUAAAAGAAGAAGAAAGGAAAAGUAAUUGUGCAGUCACUUUGGACAACAGUCUGCGGUUUCUCAAAAGGUUAAGCCUCGGUGAGCGUGUGCCCCAGCAAUCCCCACCCCCUGCCCCCGCCGGCGUGUGCCCGAGAGAAACAAAAACGUCUGUCCACGUGAGAGCUUGUCCACGAAUGUUCACAGCAGCUUUGUCCACAAAGUGGAAACAACCCAAUUGGCCAUCAGUGGAAGAGCGGAUGAACAAAGUGUGGUCUCUCCACGUGGUAGAAAGGUGCUCAGCCAUAAGGGACCAACACAGCUCAGAAACGUGAUGCUGAAAUUGCACUACUGGGUAUUUACCACAAAGAUACAAAUGUAGGGAUCCGAAGGGGUACGUGCACCCCGAUGUU